GAGGGUGUAGCUCAGUGGUAGAGCAUGUGCUUAGCAUGCACGAGGUCCUGGGUUCAAUCCUCAGUCCCUCCA
rnacentral:tRNA from 1 species